rnacentral:rRNA from 1 species
GAUGAACGCUGGCGGCGUGCUUAAUACAUGCAAGUCGAGCGGACGGACGCGACGCUUGCUUCUCUGAUGUUAGCCGCGGACGUGUGAGUAACAUGUGGAUCACCCACCUAUAAGACUGGGAUCACUUCGGGAAACCGGAGCUAAUACCGGAUAAUCUUUUGAUCCGCAUGGUUCGAAAGUGAAAGACGGUCUUGCUGUCACUUAUCGAUGGAUCCGCGCUGCUUUAGCUAGUUGGUAAGGUAACGGCUUACCAAGGCAACGAUGCAUAGCCGACCGGAGAGGGGGAUCGGCCACGCGGGAGCGGAAGCACGGACCGGACUGCUGCGGGAGGCAGCAGUAGGGAAUCAGCCGCAAGGGGGGAAAACCUGACGAAGCAAGGCAGCGUGAGUGAGGAAGGCCUCGGGAGCGUAAAACUCUGUUAUGAGGGAAAAACAUAUGUGUAAUGAACUGUACACAUCGUGACGGUACCUGAUCAGAAAGCAACGGCUAACUACGUG